AUGAACCCUAAUGCCUGUCUGAUUUGCAAGUCACCUGAGCAUAUUUCUGCUAGAUGCCCGCAAGCCUUUUGUGAGAGAUGCGGUAAAUUAGGCCACCUUGCUUCUGUCUGUGUUGAGUUUCUUCCUUGGGAUUGCAUUGCACCGAUGUGUGCCUUCUCUGCCAAGGGGCAAGGGUUCUAUUACAUACAUGAUUCGUGUACUGCUAGGCAGAUGAAAGAGCGUGAAACUAGUGUGGUGAUCACUAUUGUGGAGGGGCACACUUCUACUAAGGAUAUGGAAUUUGACCUGUCUCAGUACAUUGCUACUGGUUGGAGAUGUACUGCUAGAGCUAUUGGACCUGGAGUUUUUAUUGUUAGAUUUCCUAAUCGUCGGGAUGUUUCCAAAGCUUGCUAUACUGGUAGAAUGACCUUGAAAUCAACGGGUACUGUGGUGAAAAUUGAUCCCUGGACCUCGGCUCUUGGAGCCAAAGGGGUUAUGGAGAAAGCCUGGAUUAAAGUCAGCAAUGUCCCCUUGAAGAAAAUGAAUGAAAGAAACUUGGCAUUUGUCUCCUCUUUGGUUGGUGUCCCCUUGGAAAUCGAUGGGGCUACGCUUCAUCCUCCUGAAUAUGUGCGUAUGAAAAUUGGUUGCAUGAAUGUGGAUGAAAUCCCACCUGUCGCUGAGGCAGUGCUGGGAGAUCACUUCUUUAAUUUUUACUAUGAGCUGGAUCAGGUGAUGGUCAGGGACCCAGAUCAUGGAAAAACUACUGUGACUGUUCCUCCUGAGUCUGGAAAUCAUACAUUUAAGAAGAUGAAAAUACAAACUUCCAAUAGAAAAAAUGAGGUGGGAUCUUCCUCCAAUGCGGCUGGUACAGUCAUUGGCUCUCAGUGUAAGGGCCAGGAAAAACAACAAGGCUCUCCUGAAGAUGAGGGCUCGGACGAGUAUCUUGAUAACACCCUCCUGAUCGACAUUCUGGCUAUGGAACACGACGAGGCAAAAAGAAAGAAAGGAAAAAAUGAUCUAUCCUUUGGCAAACAGGCUUUUUGUGAAAAUGAGAGUGGCGUCUUUGAGGGGAAGGGGCUGAGCAAAUAUAUUGUCCAGUCCCCUGGUUCGUCGAUGGACAACGAGAAUGAGGUGAUUCCCACCCCUCCCCUUGUUAUGGAAGAGAAUCUAUGCUUCAGUUUGCGCAACGCCCAGACUAACGUGAUGCGAAUUGAUGAAAAGGCAGCAGGGGUGGCCAAGAAGCGCAAUCUGGAAUGUAAUAAUAGCACUAGUAAUACCUUUGAUGUUCUCUCUGAUCCAGAAUUAAUUUUACGGGCUGUUAAAAUGGGCGUUGAUAUUCCUGACACAGACUUUGCGAGUAUAGACAUCCUUCGUGAACUGGAAAAAUCUCGAGUUAAUGCUUUGAACAAUAAUAAUGAAAAUGUCCAGGAUGAUAACAAGAGCAACAAUCUUUUCUUAAUCAAUGCCAAAGGGGAUAAAACUCCUUUAUGUAUGGAAUGGGCGGACGAGGGGAAUCCUGAGUCUGAUACAAAUGAUUUUACCUUGGUGAGAUCCAGGAACAAAAAGUUAGGAGACUUGUGGUGA
rnacentral:rRNA from 1 species